rnacentral:misc_RNA from 1 species
AACUUUUGACAAUGGAUCUCUUGGCUCUCGCAUCGAUGAAGAUCGCAGCGAAAUGCGAUAAGUAAUGUGAAUUGCAGAAUUCAGUGCAUCAUCGAAUCUUUGAACGCAUCUUGCGCUCCUUGGUAUUCCGAGGAGCAUGGCUGUUUGAGUGUCAUUUAACUUGUCAACCAUGCAUAUGUGCGCAUGGCUUGGAUAGUGGGUGGUUUGCAGGCUUUUUAUAAAGUCGGCUCCCCUGAAAUGAAUUAGUAGUGUCUGAGAUUACUACAGGUGUGAUAAAUCAUCUACAUCUUUUGGUACUUGCAAGAACUGCUUUAUAUUAUUGUUUGAAAAAUUUGACCUCAAAUCAGGUAGGACUACCCGCUGAACUUAAGCAUAUCAAUAAGCGGAGGCU